UUGGGUGUGCUACCUUUUAAUUUCAGAACUUCAAAGAAAUGCAUCUCUGCUUUUAAAUGUGCUGCAAAUCUCCACCCCUGCUGUUGUGGAAAGUACAUCUUCUAGCUGUUUCCCUUACUGACAAAAACCAAAAUAAAGCAACAUGUGUGCAAGGACGAGAUUUCAUUGAUCCUGUACAACACAGAGAAGAAUUGCCACACUGGGAUUUGGGAGGGACAGGAUAAAAGAAAAUAAAAUGCCAUGUAGGCUGAGCAGGGAAGGUAGUUAACUGUCAUAAAUUUCUGAAGACAAGAUCUCUCCAGAUCUGGGUUCAUCUAGUGAACCCUUCGCUGACUCUAGUCCUAAAGAUCAAAGAGUGGUGGAUUAAGUAGCAUGUAUUCUGCAGUGGCGUGCUGCUGGGGAUUAGCUGAAGAAGAAUCACCUAAAUAAAAGGUCAGAGUGCCACAGAACAAUUCUGACUGCAAGGGACCUUGGGAAGUCCUAGUCCAACCCGCUGUUCAGGGCUGGACCAACUUCAGUGUAAGAUCAGGUUGCUCAGGGCGAUGCCUAGUUGAAUUUUGAAUGUCUCCAAGGAUGGCAAUCCCACCUCCUUUCAGGAAGUCUAUGCCAGUGUUUAACCUCUGUAAUGGUGGACUUUUCCUUCCUUAUAUAUAAUUGGAAUUGCCCUUCCAGCAAAUUUUUGUGCCUACCCCAUCCAUGUAGCUUUUCGUCCUUUUGUUGUAUGUUCCUGAGAAACAUCUGACUCCAUCUUCUUUAGGUUGUUGAAGACAGCUAUAAGAUUCCAUCCCUGCCUCCUCUUCCCCUGAUGCUGUCUCUUCUCCAGGAUGAACAAAGUGAGUGUCUCAGUAUCAUCACAUACAUCAUGUGCUCUGGCUCCCUCAUCAUCUUGAACUGUAACUAAACUGGACUCACUCCAAUUGGCUGACCACUCACUUGGCGGCCCAAAACUGACCACAGUACUCUAGAUGUGGUUUCACAAAUACCAAAUAAAGGUGAAUAAUCAA